rnacentral:rRNA from 1 species
AUUUCCCAUUUCUUCGGAAAGUAAGAUCCCUGAAAGAUGAUCAGGUAGAUAGGUUUGGAGUGGAAGUGUAGCGAUACAUGGAGCGGACAAAUACUAAUCGAUCGAGGACUUAACCAA